AGACGUUAGAUGAGAUCCUAUAACUUGCCACCAAUGACGAUGGUAAACACAAAGUGAUUCAACUUGGGUUGAGGGAAAUCAAGGAUCGAGUGAAAACUAUUGAAUCGGGUACUGCGAGUAAUGUGCCAUGUACUAGUACUGUACCACCUUCUACUAGUAUUGUACCACCUUCUCAUAGUUCACCGAAAAGUCCGCCACGUCUGAAUACUACAAAAGCAAGCAACACUCGGAAGGUAGUCAGUCCUUUGAUUGCUCCCCGAAGAGGGCGUCCAUGUACGAGGCGGAAGGUUAGCAAGGUUGAUCAAAUAGUUAAUCGGUUGAAGAGAAAGAACAAGAAGACUACUCCCGCACAGGUGCCGGAAGAUGAAGCUUACUAUUUUCCUUCUAUGGUUGGCACACAAGAUAGUAUGUAUGUUCCGGUGCCGCACGAUGAAGCUUACUAUUUUUCUUCUAUGGUGGGCACAGAAGACAACAUGUCUGUACCGGCACGGGUUUGCACAAUGGGAAUGCCGGACAAUAUUGGAAGCACAUCAGGAAUGGUCAACAAUCUAAGCGGUCAAAGUUCUACAGUACCAUCGCUAUUGGAUCCAAAUGCCCCAUUUUAUUUUUAAUGUAAUACACUUUUCAAUGUAUGUUCAAUGUAAUACACUGUUCAAUGUCUGUGUUCUACCAUUUUUGUCUGUGUUCAAUGUCUGUGUUCUACUAUUUUUGUCUCCUUUGAUAAACAAGUUCAAUGUCUUUGUAUGUUCCGGUUCUGUUCAAUGUAAUACACUGUUCAAUGUCUCCUUUGAUCAAUGUC